rnacentral:rRNA from 1 species
CCUACGGGAGGCAGCAGUGGGGAAUUUUGGACAAUGGGCGCAAGCCUGAUCCAGCCAUGCCGCGUGCGGGAAGAAGGCCUUCGGGUUGUAAACCGCUUUUGUCAGGGAAGAAAAUGUUCUGGAUAAUACCUGGGACUCAUGACGGUACCUGAAGAAUAAGCACCGGCUAACUACGUGCCAGCAGCCGCGGUAAUACGUAGGGUGCAAGCGUUAAUCGGAAUUACUGGGCGUAAAGCGUGCGCAGGCGGUUAUGCAAGACAGAGGUGAAAUCCCCGGGCUCAACCUGGGAACUGCCUUUGUGACUGCAUAGCUAGAGUACGGUAGAGGGGGAUGGAAUUCCGCGUGUAGCAGUGAAAUGCGUAGAUAUGCGGAGGAACACCGAUGGCGAAGGCAAUCCCCUGGACCUGUACUGACGCUCAUGCACGAAAGCGUGGGGAGCAAACAGGAUUAGAUACCCUGGUAGUCCACGCCCUAAACGAUGUCAACUGGUUGUUGGGAGGGUUUCUUCUCAGUAACGUAGCUAACGCGUGAAGUUGACCGCCUGGGGAGUACGGCCGCAAGGUUGAAACGUCAAAGGAAUUGACGG